rnacentral:rRNA from 1 species
UACGGAGGAUCCGAGCGUUAUCCGGAUUUAUUGGGUUUAAAGGGUGCGUAGGCGGCCUGUUAAGUCAGGGGUGAAAUUUUUCGGCUCAACCGGAAGCUUGCCUUUGAUACUGAUGGGCUUGAAUGCAGUUGAGGUAGGCGGAAUGUGACAAGUAGCGGUGAAAUGCAUAGAUAUGUCACAGAACACCAAUUGCGAAGGCAGCUUACUAAAGUGUGAUUGACGCUGAGGCACGAAAGCGUGGGGAUCAAACAGG